rnacentral:rRNA from 1 species
AUUGAACGCUGGCGGCAGGCCUAACACAUGCAAGUCGAGCGGCAGCGGGAAAGUAGCUUGCUACUUUUGCCGGCGAGCGGCGGACGGGUGAGUAAUGCCUGGGAAAUUGCCCAGUCGAGGGGGAUCACAGUUGGAAACGACUGCUAAUACCGCAUCCGCCCUACGGGGGAAAGCAGGGGACAUUCCGGCCUUGCGCGAUUGGAUAUGCCCAGGUGGGAUUAGCUAGUUGGUGAGGUAAUGGCUCACCAAGGCGACGAUCCCUAGCUGGUCUGAGAGGGUGAUCAGACACACUGGAACUGAGACACGGUCCAGACUCCUACGGGAGGCAGCAGUGGGGAAUAUUGCACAAUGGGGGAAACCCUGAUGCAGCCAUGCCGCGUGUGUGAAGAAGGCCUUCGGGUUGUAAAGCACUUUCAGCGAGGAGGAAAGGUUGUUGGCUAAUAUCCAACAGCUGUGACGUUACUCGCAGAAGAAGCACCGGCUAACUCCGUGCCAGCCGCCGCGGUAA